UACAUCAGCAUGUUACUCACAGCACAAUACAAUAGUCUGGUACAAAAGACUACUACAUCAACCUACAUAUAUCCGAUGAGGAAAGUCACCAAAAAACUUCAUACAUUCCCUCAAUUAUACCCAAAGAAGUGGAUUAACCUUAUUCAUAGACACCGAGAUGCUUGUAAUCACGUUUCUCUGUGCUGUUUAUCCUGGUCUCAUCAAAUAUCUCACUC
rnacentral:lncRNA from 1 species